UUCAUUCCAUGUAGUGUAUAUUUAUUCAAUCCAUGUUGUGUAUAUUUAUUCAUUCCAUGUAGUGUAUAUUUAUUCAAUCCAUGUAGUGUAUAUUUAUUCAUUCCAUGUGGUGUAUAUUUCUUCGUUCCCUGUAGUGUAUAUAUUUCUUCGUUCCAUGUAGUGUAUAUAUUUCUUCGUUCCCUGUAGUGUAUAUAUUUCUUCGUUCCUUGUA
rnacentral:lncRNA from 1 species